UACGUAGGGGGCAAGCGUUGUCCGGAAUCAUUGGGCGUAAAGAGCGUGUAGGCGGUCAGGUAAGUCGGCUGUGAAAGUCCAGGGCUCAACCCUGGGAUGCCGGUCGAUACUGCCGGACUAGAGUUCGGAAGAGGCGAGUGGAAUUCACGGUGUAGCGGUGAAAUGCGCAGAUAUCGGGAGGAACACCUAUGGCGAAGGCAGCUCGCUGGGACGUUACUGACGCUGAGACGCGAAAGCGUGGGGAGCAAACAGG
rnacentral:rRNA from 1 species